AUGAUGUGUUUAUCCAGCUGUGAGCUGAACAUUCUGUCUAGUUGGAUCCUGUGGGAGACUGUAUUGAAAUCCAAAAUCAUUACAUCAGCUGGCUGCCCUUGAAGUGGGUUACCUCAUCUUGUAAAGAAAUCAGGUUUGGAGUUCAGAAAAUACAGUGGAAUCUUAUUACCUUGGACCUCACCUACAUGAGUCUCAGGUGGCUGAAAACUACUGCUGCUGUCUCUGCUGCUCCUGCUACUGAUUGCUGAUUCCAGCAAUUGACCUAUUUAGUAUAUGCACUUUAUGUGCUCUGUUAAAGAGCUCCUUUUUGAUUUAAAAAAUGAAAUCUGUCACAUUAUUUAUUUGUGGAGUACACACCUGUAUGAAGAGUUGCUUCACUGGGGCUAUGUAAGCUGUGACAGGCUACCACACAAAGGCAAUAAAGGAUGAACACUGUCA